CCAUGAUUCGUCUCGCAAGAACAACACGUCUUUCACCGCCAACUCCACCAGAAGUGACGGCGAUGCCAUCAGCCUCUUCUGGAACAACGACGGCUACCGGAAUGAAUUGAUACACAGAGGAUGCCGAGAUGCAGCAGAUAGAUACGGGGAGGGAGAAUGAUAAGUCAGGAGCUCUCAUGAUAUCGAGAAGUGCUCUUGUAGCAUAAGAUGGGCGAGGCUCAGCCAGGAACUAGGAGCAGCAGGUGCUCUUUUGGUAUCUUAUUGAUGGUGAAAGAACACGUGGACUCAAGGCUCUCCUGUGUCUCUCUUCCUCCUUCCUGUCGAUUCUGGUGGGAUAGGAUCACAACUAUCUUCAUCAUAUAAUCCUCCUGCACAAAAUCUUGAUUCCUGGACUGGUCACCCUUCAAGUGAAUUGAGAAAAUAUAUUGCCCUAAAGGUAGCAGUAGUGAUUGACGAUGGAUAUGAAGUAUGGCCUCCACUACCUGUAGAGGGAAGCCUUUUAUGAUGAUCUAAUGCUAUGUGGGUAUGGGCAUGUUAAGGAGACCUGCACAUUGAAGGGAUCCAAUGCCGAAGCUAAGCAGAGGACUACAGAAGGAAGAGCCCGGCAAGAUAAUACAGAAGAGACGGCAGAGAUGACGACCACGGAGGAGGGUGAACCAAAAUGGAAGGUUGUCAAUCACCUGAGAAGGCAGCGAAAAAAUCACCCAGAAGUUAAUACAAAUUUACAUAAAUCAAGAUGUCAAAUUUUGGGCGAGAUGCAGGGGUAGGAAAUCAUGCGCGAUAUGGAGACUUCAAAGGAAAUGAGCUCUGUAAUUAUUGGAAAAGAGAGGAGUAAUAAAAAGGUGGGUGGGCCUAAUUCUAAUGGGCUCAGGUUAAAGCAAGGGCUCAAACAUUACCAACGGCUUGCAAAAACUGCUUCAGUAGAACAAACAAGGAAGAUGCGCCCAGUUCCAAUAGAAAUUCUAAUUCGAGCCCAAAAGAAAAUCCUGGACAAAUCAAAGCUUCAUUGGGACAUGAUCACAACUCCACGUAUACGAGUUCAACGACAGUUCACAGGAACAAAAUUUCUGGGCAAUCAGAAUAGGGGAAAAGGAAUGAAAGAAUAAUGGAAAUCAACACUAGUCGUCUCAAACUCUUGAAUCCAUAUUUGAACACGAAGCAUGGACCUGAUAUACAAGAUGACUCAGCGAUGCAAGAAAGGGAAGAAUUUGUGGAUGCCAUUGGCUCUGAAAACGAAUGAGAGGUACGGCUUACAUGGAAGAAGUCAAGGUGACUGGAUAGUUUUUAGAAGAGGCCGAGGAGAUUGCUCAGGCUAGGGAAGCUUAGGCUCCCUUGGAUUUUUGACCAAGUUUGUUCUCCUUUUUAAUUCUAUUUUUUUACGAAGCUAAUGAUAUGGAAUGCCAGAUGAGCAAAUGGAAAGGAUUUUGCUCUCUAUUAAGGAAUUAAAAAGACAAUUUAGGGUGGAUAUUAUUUGUAUUCUUGAGCCAAGGAACAGUGGAUUGAGUGAUAAACAAACUAUUCUUAA